GUGCUAGACGCUUCAAUAGCACAUAUACUAAUACUCGAAUGAUACAGAGAUUAGCAUGGCCCCUGCGCAAGGAUGACACACAAAUUCGGAGAAGCGUUCCAUAUUUUU
ensembl:snRNA U6 U6 spliceosomal RNA